GUGGGGAAUAUUGGACAAUGGGCGAAAGCCUGAUCCAGCCAUGCCGCGUGUGUGAAGAAGGUCUUCGGAUUGUAAAGCACUUUAAGUUGGGAGGAAGGGCAGUAAGUUAAUACCUUGCUGUUUUGACGUUGCCGACAGAAUAAGCACCGGCUAACUUCGUGCCAGCAGCCGCGGUAAUACGAAGGGUGCAAGCGUUAAUCGGAAUUACUGGGCGUAAAGCGCGCGUAGGUGGUUUUGUAAGUUGGAGGUGAAAUCCCCGGGCUCAACCUGGGAACUGCCUCCAAAACUGCAUGACUAGAGUACGGUAGAGGGUAGUGGAAUUUCCUGUGUAGCGGUGAAAUGCGUAGAUAUAGGAAGGAACACCAGUGGCGAAGGCGACUACCUGGACUGAUACUGACACUGAGGUGCGAAAGCGUGGGGAGCAAACAGGAUUAGAAACCCGAGUAGUCC
rnacentral:rRNA from 1 species